AGGCCUAAUACAUGCAAGUCGGACGGUAGCACAGAGAGCUUGCUCUUGGGUGACGAGUGGCGGACGGGUGAGUAAUGUCUGGGGAUCUGCCCGAUAGAGGGGGAUAACCACUGGAAACGGUGGCUAAUACCGCAUAACGUCGCAAGACCAAAGAGGGGGACCUUCGGGCCUCUCACUAUCGGAUGAACCCAGAUGGGAUUAGCUAGUAGGCGGGGUAAUGGCCCACCUAGGCGACGAUCCCUAGCUGGUCUGAGAGGAUGACCAGCCACACUGGAACUGAGACACGGUCCAGACUCCUACGGGAGGCAGCAGUGGGGAAUAUUGCACAAUGGGCGCAAGCCUGAUGCAGCCAUGCCGCGUGUAUGAAGAAGGCCUUCGGGUUGUAAAGUACUUUCAGCGGGGAGGAAGGCGAUGCGGUUAAUAACCGCGUCGAUUGACGUUACCCGCAGAAGAAGCACCGGCUAACUCCGUGCCAGCAGCCGCGGUAAUACGGAGGGUGCAAGCGUUAAUCGGAAUUACUGGGCGUAAAGCGCACGC
rnacentral:rRNA from 1 species